AUAAUGUUUGUAUUUGAUUCAGACAUGGGCUAUUCGGCAUAAACGCGGCGCCGAGGCGCCGAAGCACGUUUCGCUUCCACAGGUUUGAAGGGUCGAAGGUCAAAAGACCAUUCGGUAAUGAUCCCUCCGCAGGUUCACCUACGGAGA
rnacentral:misc_RNA from 1 species